rnacentral:rRNA from 1 species
CCUACGGGUGGCAGCAGUGAGGAAUAUUGGUCAAUGGCCGGAAGGCUGAACCAGCCAAGCCGCGUGAAGGACGAAGGUGCCAAGCAUUGUAACCUUCUUGUGUCAAGGGAAAACAUCAGGCUCGAGAGCCUGACCGAGGUGACUUGAAGAAAAAGCAUCGACUAACUCCGUGACAGCAGCCGCGGUAAUACGAAGGAUGCGAGUGUUAUCCGGAGGUAUUGGGUUUAAAGGGUGUGUAGGCGGGCUGUUAAGACAACGGUAAAAGCCCGAGGGUCAACCCCGGCGAGCCGUUGAAACUGGGUGUCUUGAGAUGUCGAGAGGUAUGCGGAAUGCGCAGUGUAGCGG